rnacentral:rRNA from 1 species
CCUACGGGUGACAGCAGUGAGGAAUAUUGGUCAAUGGCCGCAGGGCUGAACCAGCCAAGUCGCGUGAGGGAUGACGGUCAUAUGGAUUGUAAACCUCUUUUGUCAGGGAGCAAAGGGCGCCACGUGUGGCGCUUUGCGAGUACCUGAAGAAAAAGCAUCGGCUAACUCCGUGCCAGCAGCCGCGGUAAUACGGAGGAUGCGAGCGUUAUCCGGAUUUAUUGGGUUUAAAGGGUGCGCAGGCGGAAUGUCAAGUCAGCGGUAAAAUUUCGGGGCUCAACCCCGUCGUGCCGUUGAAACUGGCGUUCUUGAGUGAGCGAGAAGUAUGCGGAAUGCGUGGUGUAGCGGUGAAAUGCAUAGAUAUCACGCAGAACUCCGAUUGCGAAGGCAGCAUACCGGCGCUCAACUGACGCUCAUGCACGAAAGCGUGGGUAUCGAACAGGAUUAGAUACCCCGGUAGUC